CCUACGGGUGGCAGCAGUGGGGAAUCUUCCACAAUGGACGAAAGUCUGAUGGAGCAACGCCGCGUGAGUGAAGAAGGCCUUCGGGUUGUAAAGCUCUGUCUUUUGGGACGAUAAUGACGGUACCAAAGGAGGAAGCCACGGCUAACUACGGGCCAGCAGCCGCGGUAAUACGGAGGGGGCAAGCGUUGUCCGGAUUUACUGGGCGUAAAGGAUGCGUAGGCGGAUAUUUAAGUGAGAUGUGAAAUACCCGGGCUCAACUUGGGUGCUGCAUUCCAAACUGGGGAGCGAGAGUGCAGGA
rnacentral:rRNA from 1 species